rnacentral:rRNA from 1 species
GGCGUAAAGCGCAUGCAGGUGGCCCUUUAAGUCCUUUGUGAAAUUCCGGAGCUCAACUCCGGAUGUGCAUAGGAUACUGGAAGGCUAGAGACUGUAGAGGGGGGUAGAAUUUC